UACGUAGGGUGCGAGCGUUGUCCGGAAUUAUUGGGCGUAAAGAGCUUGUAGGCGGUCUGUCGCGUCUGCUGUGAAAAUCCGGGGCUCAACCCCGGACUUGCAGUGGGUACGGGCAGACUAGAGGUGUGGUAGGGGAGACUGGAAUUCCUGGUGUAGCGGUGAAAUGCGCAGAUAUCAGGAGGAACACCGAUCGGCGAAGGC
rnacentral:rRNA from 1 species